UUUGUUUUUUAGCCAGUUAGCCAAAAAGCCAACCCUGAAAUAAUAUCAUCCCUUGUUUGAAACCCCCUUGAGCCUAUUAUCCUUUUUUUGUUUAAAACUCAUUACAAAUCGAGAAGUGAAAAACAAUGUUAUAUCAUCCUAUUCAAAGGGUUGAAAGAGUCUUGUUUGGAGUUGUGCGGGGUUGAAUAAUUAUGUUUGCAAUAUUUCAGAAGUUGGUAGAAAAAGAAAAGAAAAAUAGAUACGAAAAAAAAAUGAAUGAAAAAAAUAGAAGGAUGUAUACAUGUCAAUACACACUCCUUAUGAAAAAGAAAAAAAUAAGAAGAAAAAAGAGAAAGGAGAAAAAAAAUAUGAACGAAAACAGUUAAUAUAGAGUUGUUGAAGUGAAUGC
rnacentral:lncRNA from 1 species